AUUUAAAUAGUUUAAAUAAAAUAUUGAUUUGUGGUAUCAAUGAUAAGAUUUUAAAUCUUUUUAAAUC
rnacentral:tRNA from 1 species